UUGCCCUCUUAAGUCUGCCGGUGUCUUAAGUGGCCAGUAUGGAGGGGUAUAAUAGUUCUCUCUCAAACCCAGAGGUGAGGCUGAAACUCUUCUUUGGAUCAUACUGAGAGGAACACAU
ensembl:snoRNA